rnacentral:lncRNA from 1 species
GUAAUCAUUGUAUACAUGAUAGAGAAAGAGUUCCAUACCACAUAGGAUUAGUAUUAUACAAAACAUGAAAAAUGACAAUAGACAUAUGCAUGGAAGUGUGGAGAGAUUUAUAAUAACACUAGAGAACCUUCGACAUAUACAUUGCAAAAAAUAAAUUCUUUAAAGACAUUUGGACAGCCAAUAAAAAAUUUGCUAAAGAAACAAUAAGGGAACCAGCAUGGCGACUAGUUCCCCACACACAUUUGGUCCCAAAAGAACUAGUGCAACACCCUCAUAGCAACUAAAUCACUAUUCGAAAUGCAAUAAACUAUCAUUUCUGAGAUACUGACUAUUACAGCCUUAGACAAGACAAUCUUAUACACAAUCUCACAUCAAGCUACAAGUUCUUAUAUUACGAUACACAACAACUUUUCAUAGACAUCAAACA